GCCGGGAUAGCUCAGGUAGUAGAGCAUGCGACUGAAAAUCGCAGUGUCCCCAGUGCAAGUCUGGGUCCCGGCA
rnacentral:tRNA from 1 species